rnacentral:tRNA from 1 species
GGCCGUCUGGUGGAAUUGGCAGACACGCAAGACUUAGGAUCUUGUGCCGCAAGGCGUCGGGGUUCGAGUCCCCGGGCGGCCA